ACGGCACUGCUUGGAAAGUUAGUUUGUGUUUGGGUAGUCGUUACUCAUGUGGGAUUUAGGGUUUUACAUGUUUGGUAUGAUUCCUUUCGAUUAAUUUGUUAUUUUACAGGAAGACUUCGAUGUUUGCUUCAGUUAAAGCCAUAUAUCCACUGCUCUCUAGCAGCCGCAGCUUGACGCUCUCCGGCGGGUAAUUUGCGGUUUUCGGAAUAUCCGAAAAUGCCUACCGUGAGUGUUGACAGAGACCAUUUAUUCGCUGCCCUUGGAGAAAUUUACGUUUGUUGCAGGAGGAAGCUGAUUUUGUUGAUAAUAUCGAAGAAGAGGUUUCAGAGAGCAUAGUUUGUUGCUUUUGAAGCUAAUGGCCUAGAGAGGAUACCUUCUGCAGUGUCACUAGCCACUUCACUGGUUCCAGAUGUUUUCUCGAAGUUGGUUUGAUUUAAUAUUAGUAUAUCUUAUCUUCUUAGUAUUAGUAUGUAUUAGUGUAUCUUUGUGAUCUAGGUUUUGUAAUAAUACUUUGAUUACUAUAAUAGUAUUAUUGAUUACUUUUGUUUUUGUGAUAA